rnacentral:piRNA from 1 species
UGAUAGAGUGAGAUCUAUUCAUGUGACCU